rnacentral:rRNA from 1 species
AAAGGAAUAGACGGGGACCCGCACAACCAGUGGAGCGUGUGGUUCAAUUCGAGACAAAGCGAAGAACCUCACCAGGGCUUGACAUAAUACCGUACAUUUCCCUAGAAAUAGGGAGAAAUCCGCAAGGAUGGUAUUACAGGUGCUGCAUGGCUGUCGUCAGCUCGUGCCGUGAGGUGUUCCCUUAAGUGGGGAAACGAGUGCAACCCUUGUCAUGUGUUAAAUGUUCACAUGAGACUGCCUUGUUUUACAAGGAGGAAGGAAAGGCGGACGUCAAGUCAGCAUGGCCCUUAUGCCCUGGGCUACACACACCCUACAAUGGCGAAAAACAACGAGUCGCAAGCGCGUGAGUGCAAGCUAAUCUCUCAAAUUUCGCCUCAGUUCAGAUUGCAGUCUGAAAUUCGACUGCAUGAAGUCGGAAUUGGUAGUAAUCGCGGAUCAGCAGGCCGCGGUGAAUACGUUCUCGGGUCUUGUACACACCGCCCGU